CUGCCUGCCUCGGCCUCCCAAAGUGCUGGGAUUGCAGGUGUGAGCCACUGUGCCUGGCCAAUAAAUUUUAUCUUAAAUAUGCUGAAGAUCUGCAAAGGUCUUUUUAUGAAACCCUUUUAUUCAGAUGAUAAUAGUGCCUGAUUAAUAGGAUUUUCUAGGGAUUAAAUAAAAUAAUGUGUGGAAAGUGUUUUAUAUAGCACAGGCCUGAAAUAAGUGCUCAGUAAUAUUAGCUCUUAUUUUGAUACUGAGAGUACUUGCUGCAAUAUAAUUUUUUAUGCUUUAGCGCCACUUAGCUCGUACUACUGGGAAAUGGAAAGACCCACCGAAGAAAAAUGCUAUGAAUGAGUUACAAGAUGAACUGAUGACCAUUCGACUUAGAGAAGCUGAAACACAGGCAGAAAUAAGAGAAAUAAAACAAAAGAUGAUGGAAAUGGAAACACAGAACCAGAUCAAUAGUAACCAUCUUCGAAGAGCAGAACAAGAGGUGGUUAACCUACAGGAGAAAGUGCAGUAUCUUUCUGCACAGAACAAAGGACUCCUUACUCAGUUAAGUGAAGCAAAGCGCAAACAAGCAGAGAUUGAAUUCAAGAAUAAGGAAGAAGUGAUGGCUGUGAGGCUCCGGGAAGCAGAUAGCAUAGCUGCUGUGGCUGAACUACGACAACACAUUGCUGAGCUUGAAAUCCAGGUACUAUGUGAAAAUAAUAAAGUACAUGUAAAAAUAUGGUUUCUUCUAUCCUCUUUGUCUGAACAGUAACUUAGUCUUUAUCCUCAUGACUGUGAUUCUUUUUUCAAUAAUCAUUCAUUUCCAACUUUAUUUUUUUAUUGUUGUAAAAUAGACUUAACACUUACUAUUUUAAAGUAUACAGUUCUGUGGCAUUAAGUGUACUUGACAUUGUUGUGCAGCCAUCACCACCAUCCAUGUCCAGAACUUUUUCAUCCUCCCUAACUGAACCUCUUUGCCCAUUAAACACUAACUUCCCAUUCCCCCAGCAACUGGCAACCACCGGCAACUAGAAACCACUAUUCUACUUUGUCUCUAUGAAUUUGACCACUCUGGUUACCUCAUGUAAGUGGAAUCAUACAAUACAGUCAUAUGCUGCAUAAGGACAUUUCAGUGACGGACAGCAUAUAUGAUGAUGGUCCCAUAGGAUGAUAAUGAAGCUGAAAAAUUCCUGUUUUCUAGUGACUAUAGCCAUCAUUAUGUUAUAGCGCAACACAUUACUCGUGUGUUUGUGAUGAGGCUGGUAUAAACAAACCCACUGCACUGCCACUCUUAUAAAAGUAUAGUACAUACAGUUGUGUGUAGCACAUAAUACUUGAUAAUAAAUGACUAUGUUACUGGUUCAUAUGUUUACUAUACUAUUGGUUGUUUUGCUAUACUAUUAUUGCUAUUUUACAGUCUACUUCUACUUAUACAAAAAAACAGUUAACUCUAAGACAGUCUCAGAUCCUUCAGGAGGUUUUCCAGAAGGCAUUGUUUUCACAGGAGAUGACAGCUUCAUGCGUGUUACUGUCCCUGAAGACCUUCCAGUGGGACAAGAUGUGGAGGUUGAAGAUAGUGAUAUUGGUGGUGCUGACCCUGUGUAGGCCUAAGUUAGUAUGUGUGUUUGUAUCUUAGUUUUUAACACAAAUGUUUUAAUUUUUCUUUUCUUUUUUUUUUUUUUUAGUUUUUCUUUUUUUUUUUGAGACAGGAUCUCACUCUGUUGCCCAGGCCAGAGUUUAGUGGCACAGUCUUAGCUCACUGCAGACUCCAACUCCUGGCUCGAGCAGUCCUCAUCAGCUUCCCCAGUACCUGGG
rnacentral:lncRNA from 1 species